rnacentral:rRNA from 1 species
UGCAGUCGACGGAAGGCCUCUUCGGAGGUACUCGAGUGGCGAACGGGUGAGUAACACGUGGGCAAUCUGCCCUGCACUUCGGGAUAAGCCUGGGAAACUGGGUCUAAUACCGAAUAGGACCUCGAGACGCAUGUCUUGAGGUGGAAAGCUUUUGCGGUGUGGGAUGGGCCCGCGGCCUAUCAGCUUGUUGGUGGGGUGAUGGCCUACCAAGGCGACGACGGGUAGCCGGCCUGAGAGGGUGUCCGGCCACACUGGGACUGAGAUACGGCCCAGACUCCUACGGGAGGCAGCAGUGGGGAAUAUUGCACAAUGGGCGCAAGCCUGAUGCAGCGACGCCGCGUGGGGGAUGACGGCCUUCGGGUUGUAAACCUCUUUCAGCAGGGACGAAGCGCAAGUGACGGUACCUGCAGAAGAAGCACCGGCCAACUACGUGCCAGCAGCCGCGGUAAUACGUAGGGUGCGAGCGUUGUCCGGAAUUACUGGGCGUAAAGAGCUCGUAGGUGGUUUGUCGCGUUGUUCGUGAAAACCGGGGGCUUAACCCUCGGCGUGCGGGCGAUACGGGCAGACUAGAGUACUGCAGGGGAGACUGGAA